AAUUUUGGACAAUGGGGGAAACCCUGAUCCAGCCAUCCCGCGUGUAUGGUGAAGGCCUUCGGGUUGUAAAGUCUUUUUGGCGGGGAGAAAAAGUUAUCUCCUAUUACAAAAUAGGCCGGACGGUAUCUGCAGACAAAGCCCCGGCUACUUACGUGCCAGCAGCCGCGGUAAUACGUAGGGUGCAAGAGUUAAUCGUAAUUACUGGGCGUAAAGCGGGUGUAGGCGGUUCGGAAAGAAAGAUGUGAAAUCCCAGGGCUCAACCUUGGAACUGCAUUUUUAACUGCCGAGCUAGAGUAUGUCAGAGGGGGGUAGAAUUCCACGUGUAGCAGUGAAAUGCGUAGAUAUGUGGAGGAAUACCGAUGGCGAAGGCAGCCCCCUGGGAUAAUACUGACGCUCAGACACGAAAGCGUGGGGAGCAAACA
rnacentral:rRNA from 1 species